ACGGGACCGCACAAGCGGUGGAUGAUGUGGAUUAAUUCGAUGCAACGCGAAAACCUUACCUACCCUUGACAUGUCCGGAAUCCCGAAGAGAUUUGGGAGUGCUCGCAAGAGAACCGGAACACAGGUGCUGCAUGGCUGUCGUCAGCUCGUGUCGUGAGAUGUUGGGUUAAGUCCCGCAACGAGCGCAACCCUUGUCAUUAGUUGCCAUCAUUUGGUUGGGCACUCUAAUGAGACUGCCGGUGACAAACCGGAGGAAGGUGGGGAUGACGUCAAGUCCUCAUGGCCCUUAUGGGUAGGGCUUCACACGUCAUACAAUGGUCGGUACAGAGGGUUGCCAACCCGCGAGGGGGAGCUAAUCCCACAAAGCCGAUCGUAGUCCGGAUCGCAGUCUGCAACUCGACUGCGUGAAGUCGGAAUCGCUAGUAAUCGUGGAUCAGCAUGUCACGGUGAAUACGUUCCCGGGUCUU
rnacentral:rRNA from 1 species